AUGAAUCCGGAUAAGUUCACCCACAAGACCAACGAGGCGAUCGUCGCCGCCCACGAGCUCGCCAUCAACAACGGCCACGCCCAGAUCACCCCCCUCCACCUCGCCGUCGCCCUCAUCGGCGACCCCGCCGGCCUCUUCCGGCAGGCCAUCUCCAACGCGUCCGGCGGUGCCGGCGACUCCACCGUCGCCUCGGUAGAGAACGUCUUCAACCGAGCCCUCAAGAAGAUCCCCUCCCAACACCCGCUGCCGGAUGAGGUCCCGGCCUCCACCUCGCUCAUCAAGGUCAUCCGCCGCGCCCAGUCCUCCAAGAAGUCUCGCGGCGACACCCACCUUGCUGUCGACCAGCUCAUUCUCGGCCUCCUCGAGGAUUCCCAGAUCUCCGACUGCCUCAAGGAGGCUGGCAUCAGCACCGCCCGUGUACGCUCCGAGGUCGAAAAGAUGCGGGGCAAGGAGGGCAAGAAGGUGGAGAGCGCCUCUGGCGACACCAACUUUCAGGCGCUGAAGACCUACGGCCGCGAUUUGGUCGAACAGGCGGGGAAGCUUGACCCGGUGAUCGGUCGGGACGAGGAGAUACGCCGCGUAAUCCGGAUUCUCUCGCGCCGGACCAAGAACAACCCCAUUCUCAUCGGCGAGCCCGGCGUCGGCAAGACGGCUGUCGUGGAGGGCCUCGCCCAGAGGAUUGUGAGGGGUGACGUCCCAAGUAACCUACUAGAUGUUCGAGUCGUGGCUCUUGACAUGGGCGCCCUCGUUGCGGGCGCCAAGUAUCGGGGUGAAUUCGAGGAGCGAGUCAAGGCUGUGCUCAAGGAGGUUGAGGAGGCUGAAGGCAAGGUCAUCCUCUUCAUUGAUGAGAUUCACCUCGUGCUUGGUGCUGGACGCACUGAGGGCUCCAUGGAUGCUGCGAAUCUAUUCAAGCCGAUGCUUGCUAGGGGGCAGCUUCGGUGCAUUGGAGCGACGACGCUGGAGGAGUAUAGGAAGUACGUGGAGAAAGAUGCCGCCUUUGAACGAAGGUUCCAGCCAGUCUAUGUGGCUGAGCCAAGUGUGGCGGACACCAUCAGCAUACUUCGAGGGUUGAAGGAGAAGUAUGAGGGGCACCAUGGUGUUCGGAUUCAGGACCGGGCUCUUGUGGUCGCCGCCCAGCUUUCUGCCCGAUAUAUUACUGGCCGACACCUGCCUGAUAAGGCCAUUGAUUUGGUUGAUGAGGCUUGUGCUAAUGUGAGGGUGCAGCUUGAUAGCCAACCAGAGGAAAUUGAUAACUUGGAAAGGAAGAGAAUUCAAUUGGAAGUCGAAUUGCAUGCGCUUGAGAAGGAGAAGGAUAAAGCAAGCAAAGCCAGGCUGUUAGAGGUUAGGAAGGAACUGGAUGAUCUGAGGGAUAAGCUGCAACCACUGAUGAUGAAGUACAGGAAGGAGAAGGAAAGAAUUGAUGAGAUUCGAAGAUUGAAGCAACGCCGUGAGGAGCUUCUCUUUUCUCUGCAGGAGGCAGAGCGGAGAAUGGAUUUGGCCCGUGUUGCGGACAUACGAUAUGGAGCCUUGCAAGAGAUUGAUGCAGCUAUUGCAAAGCUUGAAGGGGAUACUGGUGAGAACUUGAUGUUAACCGAAACAGUUGGGCCCGAACAAAUUGCAGAGGUUGUGAGCCGAUGGACUGGCAUUCCAGUAACCAGGCUGGGCCAAAAUGAGAAGGAAAGGCUGAUUGGCCUUGCAGAGAGGUUGCACAAGAGAGUUGUUGGCCAGGACCAAGCAGUUGAUGCGGUGGCAGAGGCUGUAUUGAGGUCAAGGGCUGGUCUAGGUCGCCCACAGCAACCGACAGGCUCCUUCCUCUUCUUAGGUCCCACUGGUGUUGGUAAAACAGAGCUUGCCAAAGCUCUGGCCGAGCAACUCUUUGAUGAUGAGAACCUCCUGAUUCGCAUUGAUAUGUCGGAGUACAUGGAGCGGCAUUCGGUUGCCAGGCUCAUUGGUGCACCCCCAGGAUAUGUUGGUCAUGAGGAGGGUGGACAGCUGACAGAGGCUGCCCGGAGGAGGCCAUACAGUGUCGUCUUGUUCGAUGAGGUGGAGAAGGCACAUGUUGCUGUGUUCAAUACCCUUCUUCAGGUCCUUGAUGAUGGUAGAUUAACUGAUGGCCAAGGACGGACUGUCGACUUCACCAACACAGUCAUUAUCAUGACCUCAAAUCUUGGAGCAGAGCACCUUCUUGCAGGAAUGGUGGGCCAGUCUUCGAUGCAGAUUGCCCGAGAAAGAGUCAUGCUUGAGGUGAAGAGACAUUUCAGGCCUGAGCUGCUGAAUCGGUUAGAUGAGAUAGUGAUCUUUGACCCCCUAUCACAUGAGCAACUUAGGAAGGUUGCCAGGCUUCAGAUGAGGGAUGUUGCUGUCCGUCUUGCGGAAAGGGGCAUUGCUCUAGCUGUAUCAGAUGCUGCUUUGGAUGUUGUUCUAGCUGAAUCAUACGAUCCGGUAUAUGGUGCCAGACCGAUCAGGAGAUGGCUUGAGAAGAGAGUGGUGACCCAACUGUCCAAGAUGCUCAUACAAGAAGAGAUUGAUGAGAACUCCACUGUGUACAUUGAUGCAGCUGUGGGGAAGAAAGAGCUGACGUAUAGGGUGGAGAAAAAUGGUGGGCUUGUGAAUGCUGCUACGGGGCAGAAGUCUGACAUCCUGAUUGAAAUCCCUCAUGGGGUGGUCAGGAGUGAUGCAGCCCAGGCAGUGAAGAAGAUGAAAAUAAUGGCUGAUGAGGAGGAUGUUGACAUGGGGGACGAGUAGGUGCGAGCUAUGUGGAUGUGAAUGGUGUCCUGGUUUUUUGAGUGUCUUAGAGACGGACCUAAUGGUUUUUGUUUUUUCGUUGUGCGCUGUGACUGUCUCGAGAGUCUGGUUCUUGAUCAAACCGGACAGAAGAGGUUUUGUCCCCUCAUGAUAAACCUCUUUGCUUUGUGAUGACAAGUCGAGAACAGGUUACACUGGAGAGAUCUUCAGACUUUGCUGAAGAAAGGUUAUGGGUUUUAUGGAGCGAUUUUGGCCUGGAACUUCCUGGAUUGUGCUAACUAUCGGCUAUCGGCUAUCGGCAUGUCUAAUCUUGUAUUUGGCAAGAAAUUGACAUUGUGCAAACCGUAUAGCAGCCUGGACCGGAGACUGACCUUGUCAUCCGUUUUCUUUUCACGAAGCGGCUGCCUCAUGGUUGAACCUGUGCAAAUAUGCUCGUCGGUCCAAGAAGUGUCUUAAGUUUUCAGGGAGGGAAACUUGGUUCCUGUUGGCGGCAAAUGACGUUAUCAAGCUAUUGGAUAAUUGGAGUGAGACGGGUGUUUUAAAACAUGAGCGGAAAACGUCAGGUGAAUAGUUUAGAAGCUGAGCUGACACAUUUAUUCUGUUUUUGCGAGAUACAUGACGGAAUGGUACUCUUUAUCAUCUCUAGCAAAAUGACGAGCGAUUAAAAUACAAAGUUGGUUUCCUAUAGUUUUAUUUGAUGUCCAUCAUAACCUUGCUAUUUGAAAGUUCCCAUUCAAGUGGACCGACAAGGAAGUAUAAAUGCCUGAUCCUUCUCCUGGUAGGAGAGCUACAGCAGCGGGUCUAUCUCAAUGAAGUAGAGUUGAGGCAUCUUUUAUUCGAAAAUUCUAUCAAGUUGGAAGAUGGCCAAUGGAACGCUAUUUGUUGAGACCACGUAGCUCUUUUUACCAAAUUUUCUUCCGUCUGAUUGUAUU